rnacentral:lncRNA from 1 species
ACUGAAAUGGGCUGGGUACCUGGCUGUAGGUCUAUAGUGAACUCGACUUCUCUGUCCACUGGCAGACCAGGCAGUUCAUCUGGAAACACAUCUAGGAAGUCUCGAACUACCGGAAUCUCUUGGACACAAAUUUCCUUCUUGGACUUGCCUAGUCAGAGAGAACAACAAGAUUAAGGCACUAGAAGUUAAGAAAACUUGUCAUCAAGGAAUAUAUACUGAAUAAUUU